GGCCUGAUUGAGUGGUCUUGCCAUGUUGUAAGCACUGCUCCGGUUGGGUCUUUCCUUCUGGCUAACCAGCUGCCUUUCACUGGGUCGGCUGGGGCUCCAGGACUUUUACUUUGAAAAAAUUAGAGUGUUCAAAGCAGGCAUUUUACAGCUUGAAUACAUUAGCAUGGAAUAAUAAAAUAGGACUUUGGUUCUAUUUUGUUGGCUUCUAGGACUGAAGUA
rnacentral:rRNA from 1 species